UAUCUGGGACGACACUUUACGCACAUGAAUUUAGCCCAGUUUUAUCAGAACAAGACACAUAUUAUAGAAAACGAGGUCAACUGUUAUAAAAAAAUAUAAACAUGUAUUUGUAUACAGAACCAUGUUCAAUAUUUAUAGAAAAGCGUCCAAUAUAUAGAGAACACAAUAUUAGAUCAACUUCAAGUAUAGAGAGCAAUGUCUUAUAUAUAGAUAUCAAAUUCCAACAUAUAGAAGAGGCAUAAUGUCUUAUAUUUAAAGAUCAAGGUCAAUGCCAUAGAGAACAAUGUUUAAUAUGUAGAGAACAUCAUUUGAUAUGUAGAGAACAAGGUAUGCUAUCCAUUUGUAUAGAGAACAAUGCCCAGCAUAUAGAUCUCCAGCAUAUAGAGAGCAAUGUAUAAUAGAUCUUUAUUAUAUAGAACAAGAUAAAUUAUGAAACCAAAGUAAAAUAUAUACAACUAUGUGAAAAAUAUUUAAAACCAGGUCAAAUGUAUCUACAAUUUGUGAAAUAUAUGUGUUGUUUUAUUGAAAAUACAGAUCUAUGACAGACUGCAUAAUUAUGGAGAUUCCUUAUGCCUCUGAUAUCCCAUCGGUUAUAAACAUAUUUAGGGCCACAAAAAUACCUCAAAUGAAAUACAUAUAAAAGUUAUGCUAUUUUUCUUCAGAUUUUCAUCCAUUUUGAAAAUGUCCCAAGUGUACAGAUUUGGCCUAAAAUCAUGCUAGAUCGUUUCAGGAAACAAUUCAAGUUCCCUGUAACUUAUCUUAUAAUUUUAUAAGAAUAUUUUAUGCAAAUUUAAUUUGUAUUCUAUAUUACUGACUGUUUGGGUAUUUCUUAGAAUAAAUGAUAACUAAAGUUGUCAAGUACAAAUAACCUUAAAUCUCUAAACAUCAACCUUAAAUCAUCAAACGGACACAGAACAUUAUUUGGGGAAACAUUAAUUUGUAUAGUCAAAUGUAAUACAAAUUUAAAAAGUAUUUAUAUAUGUUGAAUGGUUUGCUUAUUUAACUUGUAUACAAAAGUCAUGUAAGUGUCCCAAGUGUACACAUGUUUGAAAAUUGUAUACAGUUUUGGCAAAAGCUAGUUUUUGCAGAUUUUCUUAUAUAAUAAAAAAAAACUUCACAUAUAUUUGAAGGUCAUCCUAUAUUUUGAUAAAUCUGAGUUUUUACUUUAAGAUACACUGCUUUGAGGCCAGGUAAAAAACUUUUAGGAGUAUAGUUUUGAAAAAUAUGUGUUAAAAAACAUGAAAAUUUAAUUUUUCCAUAUUUUUUUUUAGAACACUUCUGAUUUUGUAUUUAAAUUUUGCUUAAGAACAUACUGCAUGUUGACAAAACACACAAAAUAUUGAUAACAUGUUUUAAUGGGAUUUUAUUAAGUGCAAAAGACAUGUACAUUUAUAAAAAAAAAUUCAAAACAUUUGGUUAACAUCUUUUGUUGUGAAAAAGUGAUUACAUCUGACAGAACGGCCCUACUCAUUUAUAAAACUUGAACCCUUUCCCUAUGCAAUACAAACAAAACUGUUGCCAUAACUUAACAUCUAAAAUUUGAGAAAAUUUUUCAUUUAGGCUUCAUUAUCCCCACGCUUUUCGGAGAAAAAGUGGGGAUAUUGUGGUUAUCUCCGUCUUCUGUCCGUCCUGGCCACUUUCUCCUCCUACACUAUAAGCACUAGAACCUUGAAACUUACACACAUGGUAGCUAUGAGCAUAUGUGCGACCCUGCACUAUUUGGAAUUUUGAUCUGACCCCUGGGUCAAAAGUUAUGUGGGUUGGGGUGGGGCCGGGUCAGAGAUUUUUACUCAUUUUUAUGCCCCUGGAUCGAAAGAUCGGGGGUAUAUUGUUUUUGGCCUGUCUGUCAUUGUAUGUGUGUGUGUGUGUGUGUCCCAAAACUUUAACCUUGGUCAUAACUUUUGCAAUAUUCAAGAUAGCAACUUGAUAUUUGGCAUGCAUGUGUAUCUCAUGGAGCUGCAUAUUUUGAGUGCACCGGAGACUACACCGAAUGUCUUCAAAGUGAUACUGAAGCUCUCUUAUGGCAAUACGGAUAAUCUCAACUAUGCAUGGCCCCAUUACCAACCCUGGGGUGCCCCGCCCACAUUGGCCACGCCCACAUAGACCACGCCCACCCAAAAUUGCCUUUUACUAUAAUUUCUUCAUUUCUACACCGAAUCACUUCAAAUUGAUACUGAACCUCUCUUAUGACAUUAUGGUUAAUCUCAACUAUGCAUGGCCCCAUAACCAACCCUGAGGCACCCGCCCACAUAGGCCACGCCCACCCAAAAUUGCCUUUUACUAUAAUAUCUUCAUUUCUACACCGAUUCACAUCUAAUUGAUACCGAACUUCUCUUAUGACAAUACGUUCAAUCUCAACUAUGCAUAAACCCAUUACCAACCCUGGGGCAGCCCUGGGUCAAACAUGCGGCGUGGGGAUACACGUCGGCCUCAACCGCGCCAUUUCUAGUUUAUAUUUUUGAAAUCACCCAAUUUUGUGUAAAGUUUGGAGAAAAAUCAAGAAAAACAUAUUUUAACAAUGAAAUACAUUUAAGUUGUUUGAUGAUAUUUUCAUGUAUUUCAACGUUUCCAAUGUCCAGAUAAAUACCCUAUUUGUACCCAUUGAAAACCUUUAAAACUUUAAUUUUGCAUUGUUAUUUUGUGUUGGGCUUGAAGAAAAAAGAUUGACCUGUAAUGCACAUGUUUACAUUAUACCUCGCAAUCAUAACAAUUUCCAAUUUAUCGACAGUGGUGACCGGGUUUUAUCAUUAUUAUAUGAUUAUUAGUGCUUGUGGUCAUAUUUCAGAUGCCCAGGGGCCUUUAUGGUUGGGUUAGUGAGGGGUGCUCCCUCCCUUCCUUAAUUGAUUUUUAGCUCCACUGGCCAAAGGCCAGCGGGGCGUAUGUCAUAGUCCUGUGUCCGUCAUGCGUGCGUCCGUCCGUGCCUGCGUGCGUCCUUGUCCUUAACUGUAGGAUCUAGGGCUACCACAUUUUGUAUGUAGUGAGAUAUAGUAGUUCUCUAUGUGUCCAAUAAUUAUGUUGAUGAAGGUGGCAGUGGUAAUGACUUGAUAUGUCUGUGAGAUAUGAAUGCCAAAGUCUUCGUUUUACAUGACAUGAAUUUUUAUGUAAAAGUGGUGGUUCUUCAUAAAUUCUACAUGUUCUUUGCAAAUGAUGACCUCUACAAAGUUGUUCCAGGAGUACCAUAUUGCCUGACAAUCUUUUGUUUUAUUGUUAACUUAAACUGUACUUGAUUCUAGCAUGCCACUAUACUUCUUUGAAGUAAUUUGAGCAAAUUUCUCACUGUUUAGUAAUGUAUACAUUGUUUAAGGUACAUUAUAAUUUCACAUUUUGUAGGUGGACUUCAAUAUGUAUGAUCUACUUAUGCUGCCACAAUGUAAAGGCAACAAUCACUGGAUUUUGCUGUUUGCAAGUGUUAUGUCCAGGACUGUAACCAUUUACGACUCGUUGGGUGGUAACAACAAGGCAUUGUUCGAUUUGUUCUGCCAGUUCAUGUGUCAACGAGCGCAAAUUGUGAACGAUGGCUUGGAAAAAAUUCAGUUCAGAGUUCAAAGCGCCACCUUGCAACAAACAGCGCCAUGGAAACAGCUGUGGAGUGUUUGCAUUGAUGACUGCCAAAUGUAUGGUCAUGAAAAUGCAUCCCACAAUGUUGUGACAGGCCCAUGAUUCAGUUUAUCGAGACUAGUCGUGAGACGCAGACUUCUGAUUCAUGGAGUGCGGCAAACAUAUCUGUGCGACUCGAUCACUCCACUGUAAAGACCCGCACGGCAUUAAAAUGGAUAUUAUCAAUAUGUGUUGUUGCUCGAAAAUAUGUUUUGUAGCAGGAAGUGCUUUGGGCUCGAUUAAUCUGAGAACUCAACAAAAUAUUAAUAAAAUCCUUCUGUGCCUUUUAGUUCUGAAAACAGAAGUAGCCAGUUGGUAUUACACAUCUCCUAAACAAGUACAGCACAAUAAAACUGAAGGUUUUAAAUCCUACAUUU